UGUAUAUGUAAUGUAGAUCAUUAGGCUUGUCUGAGACUAUUUUUUGGAAUUAAUUCUCAACGGUUUUUGUAUAAAACAUGACCUAACAUUUCCUAAGAGGGGGUGGGUACGCUGUGAGCCAUUUAUACUGGGUAAGCAAUGAACCACGGUUCAUUGUGUAUUGUGUACCACAUCUUAGUGCUUUGUAUGAUAUAUGAACAGGUGGGAAGUAUUAUUAGACAGUUAACCUCUCCCUCUUAUUAUAAAACGCGGUAUCAAAUAAGUAUCGGCUUUUGUACUACCUUUAAUCCACCUUUAAGUACGACCUUGAAAAAACGUUAUUACAAAACGCAGUUUAUCGCAAGUCCUAUUACUAUCUGUAGUACAAAAGAUAAACCAUCGAGCCCCCUAGUUUAACUGCAGUACUUAGUCGACAAACGUCAAAUUCCGACAUUAUUUACUUUUGAGGUUAUUUGUUUUGUGAUGAAAAAAAACGAAAGUGGAUAUAAGUAUGUGUGAUUUGUAAUACUUGGAUGUGUUAGAAUACUAUUGAGAGUGUCCGGGUACCCAACAGAAUGCGUCAUCGACAAAAUCUCUUCAAAUUACCUGACGACAAUUUUCGAUAUAAAUAUCGAUUUACGUUUUUCGAAAUAAUAGUCAAUUGAAUGCAUGAUGAUAAUCCAGGAUGAUCCUAUGAUGCUCAACUGGGCUCGCCAUAAAAUUCAAGACUAUUUUGGCGUUUUGCACGCCGUAUCUCUGCCAGUAAUAUGCAAUGUUUGUAAAAGACUGGAAGCUUGCUAAAAUGUACAAAAAUGCCUAGAUGAGAAAGGGAACAAGAUUGUGUGAUGAAGAACAGUGUCCAACAUGUAUCAGUGCAUUUGACUGUAUAAACAGACAUCGGAAUAAAAUAUAAUUUUCUACUUUUAUGUUGUUUCAAAUGUUUCAUUUUCUUUUGGUAAUUUAAUGCACACGAUAUUCUGUGUGUAAGUUAUUGUGCACUUCAUUUUGAAGAGGUUCUAAUUAGAUGCACAACGUCUUAUUUAAUCAUUUAAAUCGGGAUGAAAAUAAUCCAAAUUAUUUCUAACCUAAAAACAAAACAUAACUCGGAUACGCGCGCUGACGUUCCGUUAUACGCGCAAACUCGAUAGUUGUUUAAAAGAGAAUAAUUGGAUCAUGUAUAUCGUUAAAAGAUACUAGAAAUAUAAAGUUACCUUUAAAUAAUAAAAAGUAAUAUUUUCAACUGCAGAGAUAUUUUUUUAUUAUCAUAGUUAUUUAUUUUUCAUCAAAAUAGACUUAACAAAAUAAUGUAAAAAGGAACGGCGCAUAGAAUUCGGAACGAUUGAUCGAAUGAUUUAAAUAUUUGUUGCUUAUAAUCUGUGGAUAUUAUUUGAACCAUAGACAAAUCGAAGUACUAAACAGUCUUCUCUUAGUCUACGUUUUGUAAUAAGGAUGUAAAGACUAUCCAUGGGGCAAAACACGGUAGGGAGGAAAGCACGUAAAAAAGGUAUCACACCGCGGAACCUACACAAAGAGGUAUAGAAAAAACAGUUGUCGGGAUUAAGCAUUCGAAAAGCAGCAAAUACUGCAACCUUCUCUAUCCAGUAUUGCGACAGACGAAGUGUUUGUGCGAAGAUAUGUCACAAACAAAGUACAGGAACAAUCCGUCUUGUAGAGUAGAGCCCCAUUAUGAUGCAAGUAAAUUUUUUACUGCCCAACAUGAAGACAGCAUAAAGAAAUGUUGAUUGUUACAAU